rnacentral:rRNA from 1 species
GAUGAACGCUGGCGGCGUGCCUAAUACAUGCCAGUCGAGCGAACAGAUAAGGAGCUUGCUCCUUUGACGUUAGCGGCGGACGGGUGAGUAACACGUGGGUAACCUACCUAUAAGACUGGGAUAACUUCGGGAAACCGGAGCUAAUACCGGAUAACAUUUGGAACCGCAUGGUUCUAAAGUGAAAGAUGGUUUUGCUAUCACUUAUAGAUGGACCCGCGCCGUAUUAGCUAGUUGGUAAGGUAACGGCUUACCAAGGCGACGAUACGUAGCCGACCUGAGAGGGUGAUCGGCCACACUGGAACUGAGACACGGUCCAGACUCCUACGGGAGGCAGCAGUAGGGAAUCCUCCGCAAUGGGCGAAAGCCUGACGGAGCAACGCCGCGUGAGUGAUGAAGGGUUUCGGCUCGUAAAACUCUGUUAUUAGGGAAGAACAAACGUGUAAGUAACUGUGCACGUCUUGACGGUACCUAAUCAGAAAGCCACGGCUAACUACGUG